rnacentral:misc_RNA from 1 species
GAAAUGCGAUACGUAAUGUGAAUUGCAGAUUUCAGUGAAUCAUCGAAUCUUUGAACGCACAUUGCGCCCCCUGGUAUUCCGGGGGGCAUGCCUGUUCGAGCGUCAUUACAACCCUCAAGCUCUGCUUGGUAUUGGGCCCCGCCGACCCGGCGAGCCCUAAAAUCAGUGGCGGUGCCGUCCGGUUCCGAGCGUAGUAAUUCUUCUCGCUUUGGAGGCCGGGUGUGUGCUUGCCAGCAACCCCCAAUUUUUUUCAGGUUGACCUCGGAUCAGGUAGGGAUACCCGCUGAACUUAA